GAGUAAAGCAUCACUGUGCGAGAACACACAUGCAUCUGGAAAACACCACUCAAACAACCAGCCUGCAAGACAGGCAGUUGUUGGAUAGUUCAUGACGGCAUUAGGAGCUCAAGAGGAAACUGGGAGAGAAAGACUGGAGGGGGUGCUGGGCAGAAGAAGAAACACUGAUAGCAAGGCCAUAGAAAAUUACUGAAACUACCCAAAAGCAGAAGAGGUGGCUAAAAUAUUUUCCCGAAAUGCUAUGAAAAUAGAGGCUUUUUUUUUUCCC